CUUAGAUGACCAAAGCAUGAAUAUUAUUGCUAAUAUAGAAUCCCUUUGACUUGUAUUGAUAUAGAUCAAAGUUGAAAGGGUUGACGAACAUUGUAUUACGCUCAAAGGCUAGAAUUAAGGCAACGAUAUACAGGUUGACGACUCAGCUAUUUAGGAGUGCACGUAUCAGCUACUGGUGAGCCCCAAAUUCCUUCGGGGCGUUGUCAACUAUCUAGUUAUUUCAGUUUAUAGAUAGCUCUAUUAUUCAGUAUUCUUAGAGGCUUCAUAGACACAGUUCAGACAGUCAGAUAUUUGUUAUGUUAGUUUUGUUGACAGUUAUACUCAGUUGUUCAGUUGUUUGGUUUA